rnacentral:misc_RNA from 1 species
GGUGGUAUAGGGCAUUUUGCGAAGGAUUGUACCAGUCCUCGCAGAUCUGGGCGACCCACCACCACUGAAGGGUCAGUCUAAGGUUCACAGCCAGCUAGUACGGGCAGAGGCAGAGGUAAGGUCAGUAUCUCAGGCAGUCAGGGUGCAGUUAAUCAGUCAGAGUAAGGUAGUGCUCCAGCCAGAGUAUAUACUAUGCAGCAGAGAG